CAGCAGGCCAGUGGUCCGCAACUGUGCGGCUGCCAUCGCGAGAUUUGGCAGGCGGAGGAGGAGCUGUCGCGGGCAGCCGCCUCACAGCGAUGGCGGCCGAGCAGGGCCGGUGGCGGCGGCGGCUGCGGCUACGGCCGGAGACGGCAGUGGUGGUGGUAGUGGUGGGUGGCGGGGGCCUGUGACCGGGAGCUGCCCCCGGACCCGGGCACCAUGAGCCAAGGCCCCCCCACAGGGGAGAGCAGCGAGCCCGAAGCAAAAGUCCUCCACACUAAGCGGCUUUACCGGGCUGUGGUGGAGGCUGUGCAUCGACUUGACCUCAUCCUUUGCAACAAAACUGCUUAUCAAGAAGUAUUCAAACCAGAAAACAUUAGCCUGAGGAACAAGCUGCGUGAGCUCUGCGUCAAGCUUAUGUUCCUGCACCCAGUGGACUAUGGGAGAAAGGCUGAGGAGCUCCUGUGGAGAAAGGUAUACUAUGAAGUUAUCCAGCUUAUCAAGACUAACAAAAAGCACAUCCACAGCCGGAGCACUUUGGAAUGUGCCUACAGGACGCACCUGGUUGCUGGUAUUGGCUUCUACCAGCAUCUCCUUCUCUAUAUCCAGUCCCACUACCAGCUGGAACUGCAGUGCUGCAUCGACUGGACCCAUGUCACUGACCCCCUCAUAGGAUGCAAGAAGCCAGUGUCUGCCUCAGGGAAGGAGAUGGAUUGGGCACAGAUGGCAUGUCACCGAUGUCUAGUGUACCUGGGGGAUUUGUCACGAUAUCAGAAUGAAUUAGCUGGCGUAAAUACCGAGCUGCUAGCCGAGAGAUUUUACUACCAAGCCCUGUCAGUAGCUCCUCAGAUUGGAAUGCCCUUCAAUCAGCUGGGCACCCUGGCAGGCAGCAAGUACUAUAAUGUGGAAGCCAUGUAUUGCUACCUGCGCUGCAUCCAGUCGGAAGUGUCCUUUGAGGGAGCAUAUGGGAACCUCAAGCGGCUGUAUGACAAGGCAGCCAAAAUGUACCACCAACUGAAGAAGUGUGAGACUCGGAAACUGUCUCCUGGCAAAAAGCGAUGUAAAGACAUUAAAAGGUUGCUAGUGAACUUUAUGUAUCUGCAAAGCCUCCUACAGCCCAAAAGCAGCUCCAUGGACUCAGAGCUGACCUCACUUUGCCAGUCAGUCCUGGAGGACUUCAACCUCUGCCUCUUCUACCUGCCCUCCUCACCCAACCUCAGCCUGGCCAGUGAGGAUGAGGAGGAGUAUGAGAGUGGAUAUGCUUUCCUCCCAGACCUUCUCAUCUUUCAAAUGGUCAUCAUCUGCCUUAUGUGUGUGCACAGCUUGGAGAGAGCAGGAUCCAAGCAGUACAGUGCAGCCAUUGCCUUCACCCUGGCCCUCUUCUCCCACCUCGUCAAUCAUGUCAACAUACGGCUGCAGGCUGAGCUGGAAGAGGGCGAGAAUCCUGUCCCAGCAUUCCAGAGUGAUGGCACAGAUGAACCAGAGUCCAAGGAACCUCUGGAGAAAGAGGAGGAGCCAGAUCCUGAGCCUCCUCCUAUAGCACCCCAAGUGGGUGAGGGCAGAAAGAGCCGUAAGUUCUCUCGCCUGUCCUGUCUCCGCCGUCGCCGCCACCCACCCAAAGUUGGUGAUGACAGUGACCUGAGUGAAGGCUUUGAAUCGGACUCAAGCCAUGACUCAGCCCGGGCCAGUGAGGGCUCAGACAGUGGCUCUGACAAGAGUCUUGAAGGUGGGGGAACGGCCUUUGAUGCUGAAACAGACUCGGAAAUGAAUAGCCAGGAGUCCCGAUCAGACUUGGAAGAUAUGGAGGAAGAGGAGGGGACACGGUCACCAACCCUGGAACCCCCUCGGGGCAGAUCAGAGGCUCCCGAUUCCCUCAAUGGCCCACUGGACACCAGUGAGGCUAGCAUUGCCAGCAAUCUACAAGCCAUGUCCACCCAGAUGUUCCAGACUAAGCGCUGCUUCCGACUGGCCCCCACCUUUAGCAACCUGCUCCUCCAGCCCACCACCGACCGUCAUACCUCGGCCAGCCACAGGCCUUGUGUCAAUGGGGAUGUAGACAAGCCUUCAGAGCCAGCCUCUGAGGAGGGCUCUGAGUCAGAGGGGAGUGAGUCCAGUGGACGCUCCUGUCGGAAUGAGCGCAGCAUCCAGGAGAAGCUUCAGGUUCUGAUGGCCGAAGGUCUGCUUCCUGCUGUGAAAGUCUUCCUGGACUGGCUUCGGACCAACCCCGACCUCAUUAUCGUGUGUGCGCAGAGCUCUCAAAGUCUGUGGAACCGCCUGUCUGUGUUGCUGAAUCUGUUGCCUGCUGCUGGCGAACUCCAGGAGUCUGGCCUGGCCUUGUGUCCUGAGGUCCAAGAUCUUCUUGAAGGUUGUGAACUGCCUGACCUCCCCUCUAGCCUUCUGCUCCCGGAGGACAUGGCUCUUCGUAACCUGCCCCCGCUCCGAGCUGCCCACAGACGCUUUAACUUUGACACGGAUCGGCCCCUGCUCAGCACCUUAGAGGAGUGCUGGGCUCCUGUAUCUCCCCACAGUCAGUGGUGCGCAUCUGCUGCAUCCGCAGCUUUGGUCAUUUCAUCGCCCGCCUGCAAGGCAGCAUCCUGCAGUUCAACCCAGAGGUUGGCAUCUUCGUCAGCAUUGCCCAGUCUGAGCAGGAGAGCCUGCUGCAGCAGGCCCAGGCACAGUUCCGAAUGGCACAGGAGGAAGCUCGUCGGAACAGGCUCAUGAGAGACAUGGCUCAGCUACGACUUCAGCUCGAAGUGUCUCAGCUGGAGGGUAGCCUGCAGCAGCCCAAGGCCCAGUCAGCCAUGUCUCCCUACCUUGUCCCUGACACCCAGGCCCUCUGCCACCAUCUCCCUGUCAUCCGCCAACUGGCCACCAGUGGCCGCUUCAUUGUCAUCAUCCCAAGGACAGUGAUCGAUGGCCUGGAUUUGCUGAAGAAGGAACACCCAGGGGCCCGGGAUGGGAUUCGGUACCUGGAGGCAGAGUUUAAAAAAGGAAACAGGUACAUUCGCUGCCAGAAAGAGGUGGGAAAGAGCUUUGAGCGGCAUAAGCUGAAGAGGCAGGAUGCAGAUGCCUGGACUCUCUAUAAGAUCCUAGACAGCUGCAAACAGCUGACUCUGGCCCAGGGGGCAGGUGAGGAGGACCCGAGCGGCAUGGUGACCAUCAUCACAGGCCUUCCACUGGACAACCCCAGCGUGCUUUCAAGCCCCAUGCAGGCAGCCCUGCAGGCCGCUGCCCACGCCAGCGUGGACAUCAAGAAUGUUCUGGACUUCUACAAGCAGUGGAAGGAAAUUGGUUGAUACUGACCCCCAGGCCCUGCAGUGGGGCUGACUCCAGAUCUCUCCUGCCCUCCCUGGCAGCCAGGACCAGCACCUGUAGUCACCCCACCACACGCAGACUCAUGCACGCACACAGGAGGGAGGCCUAGCUGCUCAGAGGCUGCAGGGAGGGCCCAGGAGCUGGCUGGGAGGGUGGGGUCCCUUUGUUGCCAAGACGUUAGGAAAGCGAGGAAAGUGCUUGGAUUAGGAGAGUCUUGUGGGCCCCUGGCCAGCGUUCCUGCCUCAGCUCCCCUGCUGUCUCAGGGGCAGGUGGCAGGCAUGGGUACCUGCAUUUCACCGGAGUGGGUUCUUGGAUCUCUGAGGGGAAAGAACAGCAGAAGAGGCCCUUCUUCCUCACCCAAGAUGCAGGGUGGUUGGGGCCAGGAGUUUGGACCCUCCAGGUCUUGGGGGAAGAGCUGGGUAAUACCUGGUGUCUGCGUGAUUCUCUGCAGACCCUUCCCCUCCUCAAGGAUCACCCAUCCUCCUUUCAGCCCCCUUUAUGGGGACCAGGCAGCUCUGGAGCCAGCCACAGGGGCUCUUAGAGAAGCAAGGCCUGGAGUGGCCUGCACCGAGUAGCAGGGUCAGGGUUCGUGUGCUCCUCCUCCUGCUGCAGGGGCCGCACAUCCCAUUGCCCCACUUCUGCUUUCUGUCUUCUCUGUCUAGCUUCCAGGGCAGGGAGCAGGCCCCACCUAGGGCUGCAGGCAGUCUGGCCUGUGCCAGCACGGUCUCCUGUGCCCACCAGCCCCACAGGUGCUGUGCUUUGUGCUCUUGGCUGCUGUGCUGGGACAGAAUGGGAUGCCAGGAAGAGAAGAAAGGGGGUGCAGUCUGAGGCCACCACCCCCCUUCCUAUCUAAGGGAGGACUGAAGACAAGGGGCCGGCAUUCAGUGGGUAGCAGAAAGGAGAGGCUCCUUGUCCCUCCUUUUGCCCUCCCCAGGACUAAAGACCUGAAGGGGCUGGCUUUUGGAGUGUUGAGGUGAAUAUGUGGGAGCAGAGAUCAUGCAUAGCUCAGGGCAGUGAAUGGCGCACCAAGAGCACGGCUGUGUGUAGGAGGCUGUGGCCAGGAUUGCCUCAGCUCCUCCCCCUCAGGCUGGGAGGACAGCACAGGCUAGGGGCUGGGGGUGGAGGGUCUCAGCUCUGCUGCCCCCACCCCAGUACUAGCCUAGCUUCCCAAGCUGUGGCUUAGAGGAUAGUUGGCUUCUUGCCUCUUUCCUCUAAAACAGCAAGUCUGGGAAAUCCUGGGGUGAGUGGAGUCACCCCACUCCCAGUUGCUGGCAGAGACUGAGACUAAAGCAUCACUUAAUAAACCCCCCAAGCCCAA